CACUUCCGCUGAAGAUCUCGCGAGAUCAAGUUUCCUUGGCAACAGUACACCGUGUUUUCAUGGAGAGGUCAGAGCGACAAAAGAUUCAACUCGCAACCAACCAGCCAUACGACGAGAGUUUUGAGGUGAAUGCAGAGGAGGCAGCCAGUGUGCACACACCAUCCCCAAGACAGAUAGUUUCUAGGAGGACAGGCAGGCAGAAGCAGAGUGCCAUGGCCACUUAUGCUGGCGA